AACGCUAGCUACAGGCUUAACACAUGCAAGUCGAGGGGCAGCGGGAUUGAAGCUUGCUUCAAUUGCCGGCGACCGGCGCACGGGUGAGUAACGCGUAUCCAACCUUCCGCUUACUCGGGGAUAGCCUUUCGAAAGAAAGAUUAAUACCCGAUGGUAUCUUAAGCACGCAUGAGAUUAAGAUUAAAGAUUUAUCGGUAAGCGAUGGGGAUGCGUUCCAUUAGGCAGUUGGCGGGGUAACGGCCCACCAAACCUACGAUGGAUAGGGGUUCUGAGAGGAAGGUCCCCCACAUUGGAACUGAGACACGGUCCAAACUCCUACGGGAGGCAGCAGUGAGGAAUAUUGGUCAAUGGGCGAGAGCCUGAACCAGCCAAGUAGCGUGAAGGAUGACGGCCCUACGGGUUGUAAACUUCUUUUGUGCGGGAAUAAAGGAACCUACGUGUAGGUUUUUGCAUGUACCGUAACGAAUAAGCAUCGGCUAACUCCGUGCCAGCAGCCGCGGUAAUACGGAGGAUGCGAGCGUUAUCCGGAUUUAUUGGGUUUAAAGGGAGCGUAGACGGGUUUUUAAGUCAGCUGUGAAAGUUUGGGGCUUAACCUUAAAAUUGCAGUUGAAACUGGAGACCUUGAGUACGGUUGAGGCAGGCGGAAUUCGUGGUGUAGCGGUGAAAUGCUUAGAUAUCACGAAGAACUCCGAUUG
rnacentral:rRNA from 1 species